UUAAAACCUUAGCCAGAAAUAAUAUAUAUAUAUAUAUAUAUAUAUAUAUAUAUAGCCGAUAGAUCAAUAUGGUUUCUUCAUUUUCUUCCAAAUUACCCAGACAGUACUUUUCAUGGCAACUCUUCAGUGUUCUCUCUCUCCUCUUCCUUCUGUUCGGUUCUUGCGCAGCAACUAGGCCGGGGAUGAUGAUGGAGGAAGUCUCAACCGCCCUGAUCACACCGGAGCACUGGAAGCAUAAUUAUCAACCAAAUCACCAAGGCGCCUUGGUUUUCAGUGUUUUGCCCAAAGGGAGGCCUGUCCCUUCUUCUGGUCCAUCUAAGAGACACAACUGAGCUUGGUGGUGAUCACGAACUAAAAACAAUGUUCAAUUCUGAUUAUCCUUAAUUAUGCAUAUUUGUGCGUGUUUAUAUAUUAUUUUUUUAUUUUAAGUUAUUAACGAAAACUAGCUAUAUAAUUAGUGUAGUACUACUGAUCAUAUAAGGUUGUUGCGGGAGUUUAUAGGGUUUGUUGUGAAGGUGCAGAUUGUUUUGGCUUUGUGCUAAUUAAUUAAUUAAUUACCAUAUAGAAAGAUUGAUUUGUUUGUUCAAAUUUAAUUACCAACAUUCUUAUAUUUAUAUGAAAUAAAGUUUAUGAAGC
rnacentral:lncRNA from 1 species